AGACAGCAUAUUGCCUACGCAGCAUAGUUAACAAUGGGUGAGAUAAACAGCUAAAAGCUAUAAUCAGUAAUUGCAAAAAGGAGAAAACUUUAGUACCUAGAUACUUAAUCAUCAACGGCUGUUUGCUGGUUUCAAUCUCUGUUUGUUUUGUUCUAUAUAUAUCUAUGUCCAUUAGAGAUAUGAUAUUUUUCAACCACUGGAUGGUAUUACCAAAAUUAGUUUCUAAAAGAGCUCUAUAUAAUUGGCUUAAGGAUUCCUGGCAGCCUAACCAGGUGAUUAAAGAAGGUCAUCUCCUGCCUGGUGCAGAAACCUCAAGAUAUGUUGGGAGUCUCAAGAAGAGAGGCAUUCACCCAAAUCUAUAGGUAUUACAGGCAGAGUGUGAUGAAUGAGAACUCCACAAGGCUAGAGACUUUGCCUUGCUCAUUUCUGUGUCCCCGCUGCCUAGAACAGUGCUGGCCCACAGUAGAUGUUCAGUAAAGAUGAGUCAAAGGGACUAAUGAAGGAAGAAUACUGCACAACAGACAUGUUGGUGAAAUUGGUGGAGGAGGUAGAACUGGGAGCUACCAAACGGUGGAAUCAGGAUCCCAAAAGACCUCGAGAGCCACGCCUGAAGCUAAUAUUACAAGCAUUACGAUUUUACAUCAAGUUGGGAAGUACCCAAAAGCUGAAUCCGAGUCCAUGCAGAUUUUUCCAGAAGCCAGAGGACACCCCAGGGUGAGGAUCAUCUCCACCCGCUCUGUCUCAGCCACAGAAGGAAAAUGACGUGUCUCUGCGGGGCGCGAAGAGCAAGCUGCGCCGCUGGGAGCCCGCGGUCCCCUGCUCCAUCAGCAGGGCGCCUCUGGGUCUGUCAUUGUGGUGAAGCUGGGACCCGGCCUCCAGUGGGGCUACACUGCGUGGCCCCAGGCUAAUUCGGUACAGGUGCUGUGCCACUGCGUUGGGGUCCCCUCCCUGCAGGCUCUGACGGGCCAUCAUCUCGUCCUCCCCAGGGCUUCUCCCAUGCCUUGGCGGAAUGGCUUUGUGCCCCAACAAUGUGUAAAUGCCGAUGCUAUUUAACCCUUUGAAACUCUAAUUUUAUAAACAUAAUUCAUCUUAUCAAUCAUGCUAUUAUACAAUGUUUAUAAUAGAUCUAUUUUCUCUAUCUUCAUUGAGCAUCAUAAAGAUAUGUACGUUUCUAUGGACAAGAAUACACAGGCCAAAACCACAUGAGCAUGUACUUUACUUUUCCUUUAUUUCUAAAUUUAAAAUUCUUUGUUUGGAAAAUUUUCAGAUACAUCAAGUUUACUCCCUAACUACCUCAGUUGAGACUUAGAGGUCUCAAGUCAAUUAGGGAACCUUAGGAAAUGUGUUUUAAGUUGAUAUUAAAGAAAAUAUAAUCACCGUUAUUGUGACAAAUUUGCUGGAGAGACAACACCCAGGACAGUGAAGAUGGAGCGAUUCUCUAGGUUCAUGUAUUCUGCAGUGUUUUACACGAAGCCGUUAGUCGUUCAAUACACAUGCUUACAUCUACAGUCUUAAAUAUUUCAUGUAAGUAACAAGCACCUCUGACAAGUAUAAGGAAUUUGGUAUAUUCUAUUUAAUUAAGCUU
ensembl:lncRNA